rnacentral:rRNA from 1 species
AAGCUUGCUUCUAUGACGUUAGCGGCGGACGGGUGAGUAACACGUGGGCAACCUGCCUGUAAGACUGGGAUAACUUCGGGAAACCGAAGCUAAUACCGGAUAGGAUCUUCUCCUUCAUGGGAGAUGAUUGAAAGAUGGUUUCGGCUAUCACUUACAGAUGGGCCCGCGGUGCAUUAGCUAGUUGGUGAGGUAACGGCUCACCAAGGCAACGAUGCAUAGCCGACCUGAGAGGGUGAUCGGCCACACUGGGACUGAGACACGGCCCAGACUCCUACGGGAGGCAGCAGUAGGGAAUCUUCCGCAAUGGACGAAAGUCUGACGGAGCAACGCCGCGUGAGUGAUGAAGGCUUUCGGGUCGUAAAACUCUGUUGUUAGGGAAGAACAAGUACGAGAGUAACUGCUCGUACCUUGACGGUACCUAACCAGAAAGCCACGGCUAACUACGUGCCAGCAGCCGCGGUAAUACGUAGGUGGCAAGCGUUAUCCGGAAUUAUUGGGCGUAAAGCGCGCGCAGGCGGUUUCUUAAGUCUGAUGUGAAAGCCCACGGCUCAACCGUGGAGGGUCAUUGGAAACUGGGGAACUUGAGUGCAGAAGAGAAAAGCGGAAUUCCACGUGUAGCGGUGAAAUGCGUAGAGAUGUGGAGGAACACCAGUGGCGAAGGCGGCUUUUUGGUCUGUAACUGACGCUGAGG